CCCGCGAGCGCGGCGCAGGGUAUCAGUUCUCGUUUGAGAAACGGUGCAUACAAAGAGCCGUCUCCUUCCCGAGCUGCUGAGGCCCUCAAAUCAAAUUCGACCGCAGCAGUCGGACAGGACUUUCUUUUCUAAGGGUAAUGUAUUUGUGUUUCUAUGUGCACACGUGGGCACGGACCGGAUAAAGCCCCCGAGCCGCCACGCAGCGUAACCGGGAGGUGCGAGAGUGUGCUGUGCGGGAGGAGAUCACCUCCAGUCUUCGUAAGGCACGUGAACGAACGGGUCACGGCGCUGCAGCCGCUUUCCUUCGGGAAUAAACACGAUCUGAGCUCGGCGACGGUUCGCGUCGCCAGCGGUGUUUCCCCUGUCUCCGUUCUGUUGCAAACGGGAACAACGAGUGUUCCCUCGCGUUACGGCGAGAGGUCGAGAGCUCGCACACCCGGCCCGGUCUCGUCUAUAGGCAGACGCGUUUGGGGAAACGGCACUGUGCUGAGAUAAGGGUGUUCUGCGGGAGGGAGAGCCGCGAAAGAGGGGGAGGAUGGCGUGGAGCUCCCCGCACGAAGGUUCGCUCCGGGCUGUUGUUCUCUGCGCCCUAUUGCGGAGCUGCGGGACGGGAGCGCGGCGUCGCCGCACCCGGUUCGGGCAGAGCGGGGCUGAGCUGCGGUGCCGGGGUGAAACUGGAGCGGCCUUCGGGAGGGUCCUGCGGCCCUGGAACCUGAAACCUGGAGAGGAGACGGGCAGCCGCGCAGUGUGUGCUGUAGCGAAGGGGAAUAAACCUUAUGAGCGGCUAGACCGAGGCGUGCGCUUUUACCGAUUGAAGAGGGGAAGGGAAAAAAAAAAAAAAACAUAAAAGAAAACAACAAGCGGAAAGCCGAGGAGACGGAGACGUGAUAAAAGCGGGUCGCAGAGGGGGCAGAGAGGGCCGUGACCCGUCCGUGCCCCUCUGCCAUGGGCGGGUCGGGCCUUCUGCGGGGUCGACGCGUAGGGCCGAAGCAGCUUCGGGUCUGACAGCAGCGAGAGGAGCGCCGCGAGUGCUGCUCGGAGGCCUCCGGUGGAUCCCCUCUCCGGCUUUGCCAUGACCCUAAGAGCUUUCGUCGGAAGGUUUCCCCUCCCGACACUCGUCGCCUUUUCCUCCUCGCGGGCAGCCCACGCCGAAGGGAUUUCUCCCCUCCUGCUCUUAUCCCAAAGGCUCGACCCCGAGGCUCCGUGGGGGCAAAGGGCCGAGGGCGGGGCAGAAGAGGGGUCAGCAGCUCUGGGUCGAGGCCGCUGCACCUCCCGGGUUCGCUCUCCUCGGCCCCGGCGGUCCGCCCGUAGGGGCGAACGGGGCGAGGAGCGGGGGCAGCAAUAAGCAGCUCGCUGUUUGCUCAUCCUCCCGUCCCCACUUUUCCAAUUUUGGUUCGGACCAUUCAUCUCGAGGUCCCUCGUAACCAAAGGAGGGAACAUUGCCCUCUGUCCUCAGCUCCGUCCUCCGUAGCCCUCCGUGCCGGAGGCUCCGGCUGGAAAACCCUCCUUCCCCACAGGUUCUUGGGUUACGUUUGGCCGUUGCAUUACACGGGGCGUUUGCGGGCUUUUAGCAGCCUCCAUAAAAGAAUAACGACUUCGUCUUUGCCCUGCACGCUAUAACACGGCUGGCAAACACCGUUCUGGGGCGAGCAGAAUUCGGCUUUCCUAUGGUCUCCAUAGGAUAGGAAGAAGAGACCUAUGCAAGGUGUUUCCCGGCUACCCUCGGUCCGUGCGCCCCUCGGGCAGGUUAUCCUCUUGGAAAGCCGCCCCGGGGCCCAUUGUCUUUAUCUGAUGGUUGAGACAUCGGGGAGGAGAGGAAGGGAAAAAAAAAAAUCAUUGUUAAAAGCACUUUGAAGUCGUGCAACUGCUGCCGCUCCGUUUUUUUCUCCGGUCUCCAGAUGCACCACAAAUCUUCACUUUGAUCUCCCAAACCAGCAAUUUAUAUAUUUUUUUAUUUUUUAUUUUUUUUUUAACUGGUUGGGUAACUCGGAGAGUAAUGGCAACCAUGCAGGGGAUGAGGUCAC
ensembl:lncRNA